AAAGGGAAAAAGCAAGAACAGGCUAGGGUUUGGAAGAAAAGUUCAGAGAAGAUGAAACAGAUGAUGGGGAUUGUCCUGUCUUCGACUCCAUCAACCAUGAGUGGCUGAUUCUUCUACUUAGGGUUGGAUAAACCCUAAGCAUGUAACCUAUUCUCUCUCUCUUUUCAUACUUUUUGGGGAUUAAUUUAUGUAAUUAGUGUAUAGUCUUGAAUAUUAUGAAUUAAAUUCUUCCAAUUGAUUAUCUGUAUUAAUCUCAUAUUGUCUUAUGUGUGGUUGAUUGAUAAACAAAUUUUACACAUGAAUUCUUUGUUAAUUGAUUCUUGUGAUGGCUAUGCAUGGUAUUGCUUAGUUGUAAUUGUGUUUCAAAUUGAUGAAAAAUGCUUCCAUUUGAUAGAUGGUACUACAUGUUUAGGUUAAUUUGUUGUCUAAUUAGUUUUAAAUUCAUGUUUAAUUAGUUUAAUUUAAGUUUAAUUAAUUUAAUUGCAAUUCAAUUAUUAUGUAAGUAGACCAUCCAUACUUAUGUUUGAAUUCCAUACUUUUUGUCACAAUUGCAUUAUCUUCUAGAUUAAUGUGUGUUAAAUUUGUAACUUGGAUUGAUAAAUCAUACUUUGAAUGGGUGAAUUGCACUACACUUAGUUUAAUUGUCAUUAGGUAGUUGAUUCAUGCUUGAAAUUGAUGGUUUACACUUUUCAUUGCACUUGUUAGCCACAUAUAGAUUACAUAGUAUUAUUUCCCCAAUUAGUUGAAAGUGAGUAAGUUAGGGAAUGUGCUUAGUGGUGAAUCCUACACCCUAAGUCUCUUUCCAAUCUCUUAAACUAUAUUUCUUUAUUGCAAUCAUUUAGUUUAAAAUUAGUUUUAAUCACAAACAAAACCCUUUUGGCAACCACAUAAGCACUAAAGUAGAAUUCAAUUCUGGAAAACCUAUAAUUGUUUAGAUCUCUUGGGACGAUCCCUGCUCACUUCAUACUCCAUAGUAUAAGUGUUUAGUGGUUUUAUAAAUUUUAAAAUAUGGUGCCCACUUGACAUUAUUUCUAAACCUAAAGUGUUGUGCAUUAUUUUGUGCACACGCUCGGUCGCACCAGUAAAUACACUAAAAAUGUUGUCUAUAAGGAGGUUCUCCAGUCUAAAAGAUAAGAAUACACCCACAUUAAUAUCCAUGCCUUCCCAUUCCAAAAUUAUUUUGCAUUGUUCGAAAGGUAAAGAUACCCCACAUUCGUUACCAAUUAUUACAAUAUUUAAAUCUUUCACUCACAAUUUUAUUUUUUAAAAAUAUAAAAAAAAUAUCAACUUCGAUUUAACUUACUGUUAAUGUAUAUAUAUAUAUUUUUCAUUUCUAUUUUGAUACUCGAUCAUUCUUAUUUCACAAUUUUAUUUUUAAUUUUUAUUUUCUUUAACCUCAAUUCUUUUUUCUUUUCAUCAUGCAAAAACAGUCAUGAAAAUGAAGAAAGGUCACUAAAGCUUUGAGUUAAUAAAUUCACUUGUUACUUUAAAAACAGAAUCGACAAUAAAAGUAGUUGUAUUUCGAAGAGCAAUCGAGGAAUACACAUCAGGAACAAUGUUGAAAGUAGUUCUGAUGGAUGAUGACGUAAGUAUACCAUCGGCUAUUCUGUUAGUUUCAUUAAAUGCAUCUAUAUUUAUAUGGCAACAUUGUUAUUUAAUGAUCUUAUUAAUCCAUUUGCACAACUUUUUUACUCUUUCAGGGAACACAAAUUCAAGGUGUCUUAUUUAACGAGCUCGUCACUAAAUUCAGUGAUUCAUUAUUGCUUCACAAGACAUACAGAAUUUCAAAUGUAACUGUAAAAGACGUCAAUCCUAUAUAUAGGAGUGUGCACAAGGAGUAUGAAUUGAAAUUUCUUAAUAACACCUCAAUUAAAGUUGAAGAGCUUGAAGUAGUAAGCUUAGAAACAAUAAACUUUAAUUUUGUGGACUUCAAGGAGCUGAACAAGUACACUGAUGUAAAAGAAAAUAUGGAUUAGUUUUUGUUUAAUUCUCAACUCUCCAUAUAUAUGUUCUCUCUUGUACACAUAUAAGAUUAAAAUUUCUUAUUUUUUAUUUUAUUUUUAAUCUGGCUCAAUGCAUUUGGGAAUUGUUAUUGAGGUAUCUCCUACAUUGAACAUAUGUAAGAAGAACAAUAAAGGCACAACCAAAAAGCGGGAAGUCAUUAUAAUGGCUAUGAGUUCAUGGAUAACAACUUUGACGUUAUGGGAGGAUCUUGCUGAGAAUGAAGGAAACUUUUUCAUGGAACUAAUACAAGAAAGACCUAUUAUCACAAUGACACAUGUGGCAAUCAACACUUACAAAGGUCUGUCUCUUCAAAUGCAAAAAUGAUCUACAUUGCAAAUCAAUAUGGAUAUUGAAAGUGUCAAAUCAUUAAGGCAUUGGUCCAUAGAGAACAUAAAUAACAAAGAUAUAAGAAGUUUGAUUUCCAGUACAAAAGAUCAAAAAUUCAAUGGUGCUGAAAAAGUCAAACUUCAAGACAUAAUAAGAAAAUCUACAAUGUCCUUUGAGAAAUUGAAAAUGUCGUUAAUGACCGCGAACCGUGGUACGACCCUGUGAGAAAUGCAACAAGAAAAUAAAAGUUGAAAAAGAUAGAGUAUACUGUCCUCAAUGCAACACAAUAGACCCAAAAUACAUUCAAAAAUUCAUGAUGAUAAUUAAAGUGCGAACUAUGGAACAUAUUGCAACACUUGCAACCCUAACAGUGUUUAAUGAUUGCCAAAUAUUAAUAAAUUGUUCACUAGAUGAUUUACUACAAUUAAAAAUUGAGGACAUGGAUGAAUUCAGUAACAAAGUGACAAGCUGCAAAGGAAAAUCUUUUCUUUUUCUGGCGAAGAUAGACAAUACUCAACAAGAAGUCAUGCAAACUUAUUUUGCGGUGGAAGAAUUAAAAGAAUUCACACUUGAUAAUGAUUCAUUUCAUGAAGAAAUGAGAUAUGCAAAAAAGAUAAAGAUUGAGAAAUAAAUAAUUUAGGAAUACUUUUAUUUUCAAACAGUUAUAGUUUUAGAUUUUCUAAUAUAUUUUGUUUCUUUUGAGGUGACAAUUAUUACAAUCUAAACA